CAGGGAGACAACAAAAUGUUAAAUAUUAUAAUUUUGUCACCUUAGGUCGAUCGGUAUCUCACGUUCUUAAUUUAUUAAGAAUUUCAUUUCCUAAGUUUUUCUAGGUCACACCCAUUAUUUUUCCCGGGCCAUUAGCUCAGGUGGUUAGAGCGCACCCCUGAUAAGGGUGAGGUCCCUGGUUCAAGUCCAGGAUGGCCCAUACUCUAUGUUGGGGGUAUAGCUCAGUUGGUAGAGCGCCUGCUUUGCAAGCAGGAUGUCAGCGGUUCGAGUCCGCUUACCUCCACUGAUUACCACCUCUUCCAUAAGUUGAAGAAAGGAAAUGUUUUGAGUUGUGAUCAAAUUUCUGAACGAAUCUAGCUUCCUAAUUAUCUUAUUAAGAUGCUGGACUCAUUGAAUUAAUUUCAUUGUUUUCAGAGAACCUUGACAACUGCAUAGAUUAUUUUUAAAGACAAUAAGCAUCUUUAAUGAUGCAGAUUUAUUAUUUGUGCGAAUGCAUUAAUAACAAUUCUAUUAAGCUGAUGCCUCAAUAUUGAAGUUAUU
rnacentral:tRNA from 1 species